AUUGAACGCUGGCGGCAUGCUUUACACAUGCAAGUCGAACGGUAACAGGUCUUCGGAUGCUGACGAGUGGCGAACGGGUGAGUAAUGCAUCGGAACGUGCCCAGUCGUGGGGGAUAACGCAGCGAAAGCUGCGCUAAUACCGCAUACGAUCUAUGGAUGAAAGCGGGGGACCGUAAGGCCUCGCGCGAUUGGAGCGGCCGGUGUCAGAUUAGGUAGUUGGUGGGGUAAAGGCCCACCAAGCCAACGAGCUGUAGCUGGUCUGAGAGGACGACCAGCCACACGGGGACUGAGACACGGCCCAGACUCCUAGGGGAGGCAGCAGUGGGGAAUUUUGGACAAUGGGCGCAAGCCUGAUCCAGCAAUGCCGCGUGCAGGAAGAAGGCCUUCGGGUUGUAAACUGCUUUUGUACGGAACGAAACGGCCCUCUCUAAUACAGAGGGCUAAUGACGGUACCGUAAGAAUAAGCACCGGCUAACUACGUGCCAGCAGCCGCCGUAA
rnacentral:rRNA from 1 species